GACAGAGGAUGCAAGCGUUAUCCGGAAUGAUUGGGCGUAAAGCGUCUGUAGGUGGCUUUUUAAGUCCGCCGCCAAAUCCCAGGGCUCAACCCUGGACAGGCGGUGGAAACUACCAAGCUGGAGUACGGUAGGGCAGAGGGAAUUUCCGGUGGAACGGUGAAAUGCGUAGAGAUCGGAAAGAACACCAACGGCGAAAGCAUCUGCUGGGCCGACACUGACACUGAGAGACGAAAGCUAGGGGAGCA
rnacentral:rRNA from 1 species